rnacentral:miRNA from 1 species
CAUUAGAGGACAUUAUAGACA